GUGUCAGCCGCCGCGGUAAAACGUAGGAGGCAAGCGUUAUCCGAAUUUACUGGGCGUAAAGCGUGUGCAGGCGGUUCGAUAAGUUGGAUGUGAAAUCUCCUGGCUCAACUGGGAGAGGUCGUUCAAAACUAUCGGGCUUGAGGGCAGUAGAGGGAGGUGGAAUUCCGGGUGUAGUGGUGAAAUGCGUAGAUAUCCGGAGGAACACCAGUGGCGAAAGCGGCCUCCUGGACUGCACCUGACGCUCAUACACGAAAGCUAGGGGAGCGAACGGGAUUAGAAACCCUUGUAGUCC
rnacentral:rRNA from 1 species